GAAACGGCUCUUUUCAGAGCCACUAAAAUUAUUCGAAAAGAAUGUCU
rfam:Crassostrea gigas strain 05x7-T-G4-1.051#20 contig10846, whole genome shotgun sequence.